UCCCUUGGCCAAUCAAAAAAGGAGGCAGCCACCCCUCUCCCUCUAUAAAAGCCCCUUGGCCGGCCACCACCUCCACCUUUGGCCCUCAUUUUUCUUCUCUCCACUCCCUCACACUCUUCUCCUCCACCUCCCCACGAGCUGCUGCUCCUCCCAAGCUCCAUGGCCGCCCAUGGCCAUGGAAAUCCACCUAGAUGAAGCUCCCCUCCUCCCUCAAGCUCCUCCUCACCAUGAGAGCAUCCCUCUCACUCUCUUCUCCCCCUAAUCUUUGAUGAAUCCAACUCUCUUUCUCCUUUCUCCUCUCACUAGAUUGGAUCUUGAUGCAGGUGCAUGUUGGUCCAAGCAUGGAGAAGGUUGAGCUAUCCUCAGAUCUGAAGCUCUUGACCAAAAUCCAAAUCGAGUGAUUCAAAGUUCCAAAGAUAGGUAUUGAAAAGAUCUACAACUUGGCGUUGGUCUCAUCCUAAAAUUCGUUACGGAUUUUUCAUGAUCAAGAUCUGGUCAGAUCUGAAUUUGUCGAAUUAAACCUGGAGCUUGCAAAAGAAUUUUUGAAUGAAACCAGUUGGGUAAGAACCACCUAUUCAAUACCUUUCAGAUGCAGCUGACCUCAUAUUUUUAUGAGUUGUGUACGAUUUGUGGUGAAUUAAACUUAUUCUGUGUGUUCUGCAGACAUGGCUGUUAGCUUUUAAUUCAUCAAAAAUCUAUU